GUAGGUGGCAAGCGUUGUCCGGAAUUAUUGGGCGUAAAGCGCGCGCAGGCGGUUCUUUAAGUCUGAUGUGAAAGCCCACGGCUCAACCGUGGAGGGUCAUUGGAAACUGGAGAACUUGAGUACAGAAGAGGAAAGCGGAAUUCCACGUGUAGCGGUGAAAUGCGUAGAGAUGUGGAGGAACACCAGUGGCGAAGGCGGCUUUCUGGUCUGUAACUGACGCUGAGGCGCGAAAGCGUGGGGAGCAAACAGGAUUAGAUACCCUGGUAGUCCACGCCGUAAACGAUGAGUGCUAAGUGUUAGGGGGGUUUCUGCCCCUUAGUGCUGCAGCUAACGCAUUAAGCACUCCGCCUGGGAGUACGGCCGCAAGGCUG
rnacentral:rRNA from 1 species